CCUACGGGAGGCAGCAGUAGGGAAUCUUCCACAAUGGGCGAAAGCCUGAUGGAGCAACGCCGCGUGGGUGAAGAAGGUCUUCGGAUCGUAAAACCCUGUUGUUAGAGAAGAAAGUGCGUGAGAGUAACUGUUCACGUUUCGACGGUAUCUAACCAGAAAGCCACGGCUAACUACGUGCCAGCAGCCGCGGUAAUACGUAGGUGGCAAGCGUUAUCCGGAUUUAUUGGGCGUAAAGGGAACGCAGGCGGUCUUUUAAGUCUGAUGUGAAAGCCUUCGGGUUAACCGGAGUAGGGCAUUGGAAACUGGGAGACUUGAGUGCAGGAGGGGGGAGUGGAAAUCCAGGGGGAGCGGGUGAAUGCGGAGAUAUAAGGAAGAACACCAGUGGCGAAAGCGGCUCUCUGGUCUGUAACUGACGCUGAGGUUCGAAAGCGUGGGUAGCAAACAGGAUUAGAUACCCCGGUAGUC
rnacentral:rRNA from 1 species